rnacentral:rRNA from 1 species
UACGUAGGCAGCAAGCGUUGUUCGGAGUUACUGGGCGUAAAGGGUGCGUAGGCGGCUUCUUAAGUCUGGUGUGAAAUCUCCCGGCUCAACUGGGAGGGUGCGCCGGAUACUGAGGGGCUAGAGUGUGGGAGAGGAAAGUGGAAUUCCUGGUGUAGCGGUGAAAUGCGUAGAUAUCAGGAGGAACACCGGUGGUGUAAACGGCUUUCUGGACCGUAGCUGACGCUGAGACACGAAAGCGUGGGUAGCAAACAGG